GGGACGGACCCCACGGCGGAGCAGGGGCCGAGCGCGGAGUCCUCCUCCCCCUGAGGAGGAAGGAGCGGCAGAGACCAGGGCCCUGUGAAAUGGAGAUGCCAUCUGUCAUCCUGUCUGAGACCAGCCCUGCAAAUGCAAUACCAUCAUUGUGUUGCUUGUCACAAUCAGAGCACAUAAUAUGUUGAUGGAAUAAUUGCCUUGAAUGCCACCGGCUUCCACUUUGAAGAUCUUCACUUUUGGACCUUCACAACUCAAAAGGGUGACCCUGGAACCCCUGUUUUCUAAAGCCAGAUUCUGGCAUUUAGCAGCUCCUUUGCUCAACAUACCAUUUAAAGCAAGAACCAAUGAGAAUCACUCCUCCAGUGGUUUGUGGAAGAUUUUGCAUCUGUAUUUGAGGAAACAUAUGUAUAUUUGCACUCCCUUUCUCAUUUAUGCUAUAAUUUCCCCUAUAAUACUCUUGGGGGAGUAGGCUCCAUUUCACAUAACCUCUAGAAUUGUGUGCAUUAUAAAUUCUGUUCUUACAUUUAGCUUUAAAUCAGUGUAUUGCAUUAUGCAGUCUUACAGUUAAAUCCUGAAUUUAAGCUAUUAAUGAAUCCUUUUUAAUGAACUAAUGUAAAAUUCAAAUGUAGCUUAUA